GCUGCCCCUAGAGGCAUUGCAGAUGUGACUGUCAUGUCACCUAUGUGUCAGGAGGUGGCAGAGAGGAGAGAGAGGCUAUGACUGCACCCAGUGUUCUGACCUGCAAACAUCUGAAUGAUCAGUAGCCUAACACU